GAUGAACGCUGACAGAAUGCUUAACACAUGCAAGUCUUUGGCGAAGCUGUGCUUGCACAGCCUAGCCAAGGCGGACGGGUGAGUAACGCGUAAGGAACUUGCCCUGCAGUCAGGGAUAACAGACGGAAACGACUGAUAAGACCUGGUAAAGUCAGGCGGACUCAUGUCCAGCCUGAUGAAAAGUGAUGCUGCAGGAGAGCCUUGCGUCCUAUUAGCUUGUUGGUGGGGUAACGGCCCACCAAGGCGAUGAUAGGUAGCCGGCCUGAGAGGGUGGACGGCCACAAGGGGACUGAGAUACGGCCCUUACUACUACGGGAGGCAGCAGUGGGGAAUAUUGGACAAUGGGGGCAACCCUGAUCCAGCAAUUCUGUGUGCACGAUGAAGGUUUUCGGAUUGUAAAGUGCUUUCAGCAGGGAAGAAAAAAAUGACGGUACCUGCAGAAGAAGCGACGGCUAAAUACGUG
rnacentral:rRNA from 1 species